UCAUUCAUUCACCACCAACACCAUCACCACCAUUGGAACCAGCAGCAUGAACCUCCGCCAGCACCUACUGUCAUUCAUCUCUACCGUAAUCAUUAUUUGAGGGAAAAAUGGUAGCAAAGAUGUUUUGGACAAGCUGGGCACAAAUAGACUAAAUGCUCAUCUCAAAGAACUCAUGCUGGGCCUCACAUGUGGUUGAUGGAAGUUAAAUAUCACAACCGAAUGAGGUUGCGAAAUUAUCUUGCAAGUCCCACCGUGCCCAAAUGUUAAGUUGAAUGAGAAAACAGUUUGAAG